rnacentral:rRNA from 1 species
UAUGUGAUCGUCUCUCGCAUAUCAAUAAGCGGAGGAAAAGAAACUAACAAGGAUUCCCCUAGUAACGGCGAGUGAAGCGGGAAGAGCUCAAAUUUGAAAUCUUAAAGGGUUUCCCUUUACGAAUUGUAGUUUAAAGAAGUGUUUUCUGUUGAGGUUUUGGUAAAAGUUCUUUGGAAUAGGACAUCAUAGAGGGUGAGAAUCCCGUAUUUGACCUUUACUUUCAACUUUGUGAUACACUUUCAAAGAGUCGGAUUGUUUGGGAAUGCAGUCCAAAAUGGGUGGUAAAUUUCAUCUAAAGCUAAAUAUUGGCGAGAGACCGAUAGCGAACAAGUACCGUGAGGGAAAGAUGAAAAGAACUUUGAAAAGAGAGUUAAACAGUACGUGAAAUUGUCAAAAGGGAAGCGUUUGACACCAGUGUUGUUUUUCUGAAAAUCAAUUAAAGAACUGUUUAUGCUAAGCUGUUUAGACUUUAUCAGCUAUCUGUUUAGUUUUGAGCUUUUCUUUAAUGCACUUUUCAGUUAACAAGUCAACAUCAAUUUCUUUUGCUGUAAAAAAGCUUGAGGAAGGUGGCUUGAGAUUCGUCUUAAGUGUUUAUAGCCUCUUGCCUAUGCAGUCGGAGAGAUUGAGGUCUGCAGCGUAGAUCCUUCGGGGCUAAAUGCAUUUGUGCUAAGUUAUAGCAUUUUAUCAGACAACUUGUUGACUAUGAUUUGUCUUGUAGCUUACUCGCUUAUGUUAUUUUACCUACGCUUAGGAUGUUGAGCGCAUGUCUCUCUCU